CCUACGGGGGGCAGCAGUGGGGAAUAUUGGGCAAUGGGCGCAAGCCUGACCCAGCAACGCCGCGUGAAGGAAGAAGGCUUUCGGGUUGUAAACUUCUUUUCUCAGGGACGAAGAAAGUGACGGUACCUGAGGAAUAAGCCACGGCUAACUACGUGCCAGCAGCCGCGGUAAUACGUAGGUGGCAAGCGUUAUCCGGAUUUACUGGGUGUAAAGGGCGUGUAGGCGGGAAAGAAAGUCAGAUGUGAAAACCACGGGUUCAACCUGUGGCCUGCAUUUGAAACUGCUUUUCUUGAGUACUGGAGAGG
rnacentral:rRNA from 1 species